AUACGGUGGGUGCGAGCGUUAUCCGGAUUUAUUAGGUUUAAAGGGUGUGUAGGCGGGAGCCUAAGUCAGUGGUGAAAUCUCACAGCUUAACUGUGAAACUGCCAUUGAAACUGGGUUUCUUGAGUAUAGUUGAGGUAGGCGGAAUGUGUAAUGUAGCGGUGAAAUGCAUAGAUAUUACACAGAACACCGAUUGCGAAGGCAGCUUACUAAGCUAUUACUGACGCUGAUGCACGAAAGCGUGGGUAGCGAACAGGAUUAGAAACCCCGGUAGUCC
rnacentral:rRNA from 1 species